GACGAACGCUGGCGGCGUGCUUAACACAUGCAAGUCGAACGAAGUGGCGAACGGGUGAGUAAUACGUGGGUAACCUGCCCUCCUUUUUGGGAUAAGACUUGGAAACGGGGUCUAAUACCGAAUAAAGGGGGAUGGGCUCGCGGCCUAUCAGCUUGUUGGGGGGGUGAUGGCCUACCAAGGCGGUGACGGGUAGCCGGCCUGAGAGGGUGAACGGCCACAUUGGGGUGGAGAUACGUCCCAGAGUACUACGCGAGGCAGAAUGGGGGGCUAUUGCUAAACGGGCGAAAGCGUCAGGCGGCGCAGCGGAGAGUGGGUUAAAGGGCAUCCAGUUGUAAAAAUCUUUCGAAAUGGACUGUGUAUGUGGAGAGUAAGCCCCGGCUAACUACGUGCCAGCAGCCGCGGUAAUAC
rnacentral:rRNA from 1 species